rnacentral:snRNA from 1 species
CAAAUAGGGGUGAACUCUUGUAU